GACGAACGCUGGCGGCGCGCCUAAUACAUGCAAGUCGAGCGAAUCUUGAGGUGCUUGCACCUCUUGGUUAGCGGCGGACGGGUGAGUAACACGUGGGCAACCUGCCUGUAAGACUGGGAUAACUUCGGGAAACCGGAGCUAAUACCGGAUAAUCCUUUUUCUCUCAUGAGGAAAAGCUGAAAGUCGGUUUACGCUGACACUUACAGAUGGGCCUGCGGCGCAUUAGCUAGUUGGUGAGGUAACGGCUCACCAAGGCGACGAUGCGUAGCCGACCUGAGAGGGUGAUCGGCCACACUGGGACUGAGUCACGGCCCAGACUCCUACGGGAGGCAGCAGUAGGGAAUCUUCCGCAAUGGACGAAAGUCUGACGGAGCAACGCCGCGUGAGCGAUGAAGGCCUUCGGGUCGUAAAGCUCUGUUGUUAGGGAAGAACAAGUAUCGGAGUAACUGCCGGUACCUUGACGGUACCUAACCAGAAAGCCACGGCUAACUACGUGCCAGCCGCCGCUGUAA
rnacentral:rRNA from 1 species